GAAGCUGACCAGACAGUCGCCGCUUCGUCGUCGUCCUUUCGGGGAGACGGGCGGAGGGGAGGAAAGUCCGGGCUCCAUAGGGCAGGGUGCCAGGUAACGCCKGGGGGGGAAACCCACGACCAGUGCAACAGAGAGCAAACCGCCGAUGGCCCACGUAAGUGGGAUCAGGUAAGGGUGAAAGGGUGCGGUAAGAGCGCACCGCGCGGCUGGUAACAGUCCGUGGCACGGUAAACUCCACCCGGAGCAAGGCCAAAUAGGGGUUCAUAAGGUACGGCCCGUACUGAACCCGGGUAGGCUGCUUGAGCCAGUGAGCGAUUGCUGGCCUAGAUGAAUGACUGUCCACGACAGAACCCGGCUUAUCGGUCAGUUUCACUU
rnacentral:RNase_P_RNA from 1 species